GGCCCCGGCCCCGGCCCCAACUGUACGCACGCGCAGUGCCGGGACGGGCAGGCAGCUACAAGUAAGAUAAAAAGAAGAAUUGUGGUGCAAAGCAAAUUGAUUAAAAUUUUGAGGUUAUGGUGAUGUGUCCCUUUGAGUGGACUCGAUGAGCCGAAUGACCUUACUUCUGUGGGAUAUAGAUUACUUACAGUGUGGAAACAGGCCCUUCGGCCCAACA